UUAUAAAAAAUUUAAUUUAUUAAUUAUUUUAAUAUUUAUAAUAGAAAUAACUUUUAUUUUAGUAUAGUUUAUUGAAAAAAUUAAUUAAUUUAUAGUUUAAAGUACUGUGAAGGAAUAUUUUAUAUAUAUUUAAAGUUGAAUUUAUUUUUUGUACCUUUUGUAUCAGGGUUAAUUAAUUUAAUUUAUUGAUCUAUUUUUCCCGAAAUAAAGAGAUCUAGAGAUUAAUGAGUUUUAAUGUUUCAAAAUUAUUUUUAAUUAAUUUCUGGUAAUGAAAUGUUAUUCGUUCUUUAUAUAUCUGGUUUACUUGGAAUUAAAUUUAAUUUAUAAUAUAAAUAUUAAUUAUAUCUUUUUUUUUAAAAUUAAUAUUUAUAUUAAAUAUUUUAGGGGAUAAGCUCUAAAGUAAUUUUAUAAUUUUAUAUUUAUUAUAGUUAACAUAGGCUUAGAAUCGGCCAUUAUUAAUUUCGUUAUAGAAUAAACUAUUAAUUUAUUUAUUUUUAUUUAAUUUAAGUGUUUACAAGUAUAAAAAAUUUAAUUUAUUAAUUAUUUUAAUAAUGAUUGAAUUAGUAUUUUAUUUAAUUAAAAUAUAGUAACUCGGCAAAUAGUUUGCUCGCCUGUUUAACAAAAACAUGUCCUAUUGUUAAUUGUAUAUUAGGUCUGACCUGCCCAAUGAUUAAAUUUAAUGGCCGCGGUAUAUUAACUGUGCUAAGGUAGCAUAAUCAUUUGUCUUUUAAUUAAAGGCUAGAAUGAAUGGUUGGACGAGGUAAAAGCUUUCUUUAUUUUAAUUUAUUAAUUUAAUUUUUUGGUUAAAAAGCCAAAAUGUAUUUGAGGGACGAGAAGACCCUAUAGAUCUUUAUAUAUUUAAAUAUUAUUAUAUUUGGUUAAUUUUUUGUUUUAAUAGUUAAAUAUAUUUGGUUGGGGCGAUUGUAGAAUUUAAAUUAACUUCUAUUUUUAUUUAUCAUUAAUUAAUGUUUAAUUGAUCCAUUUUUAUUGAUUAAAAGAUUAAGUUACCUUAGGGAUAACAGCGUAAUUUUUUCGGAGAGUUCUUAUCAAUGGAAGAGUUUGCGACCUCGAUGUUGGAUUAAAAUAAGUUUUGGGUGUAGAAUUUCAAAUACUAGGUCUGUUCGACCUUUAAUUUUUUACAUGAUCUGAGUUCAGACCGGCGUAAGCCAGGUCAGUUUCUAUCUUCAAUAUUAAUUAUUAAAUUUUAGUACGAAAGGACCAAAUUUAAGGAAUAAUUUUUUAUUAAUUGAUUUAUAUU
rnacentral:rRNA from 1 species